rnacentral:rRNA from 1 species
CCCUUAGAUGUUCUGGGCCGCACGCGCGCUACACUGUUCGACGCAGCGAGUCUUAACCUUGACCGAAAGGUUUGGGUAAUCUUCAGCAAAGUCGAACGUGAUGGGGAUCGAUCAUUGCAAUUAUUGAUCGUGAACUAGGAAUUCCUAGUAAGUGCAAGUCAUCAGCUUGCGCUGAUUACGUCCCUGCCCUUUGUACACACCGCCCGUCGCUACUACCGAUUGAAUGGUUUAGUGAGAUCUCUGGAUUGACGCUGGCUAGGGGGCGACCCUUGGCCAGGCUGUCGAGAAACUGCUCAAACUUGAUCAUUUAGAGGAAGUAAAAGUCGUAACA